rnacentral:rRNA from 1 species
UACGGAGGGUGCAAGCGUUAAUCGGAAUUACUGGGCGUAAAGCGUGCGCAGGCGGUUUGUUAAGUCUGCUGUGAAAUCCCCGAGCUCAACUUGGGAAUUGCAGUGGAUACUGGCAGACUGGAGUAUGGUAGAGGAAGGUGGAAUUCCCGGUGUAGCAGUGAAAUGCGUAGAGAUCGGGAGGAACACCAGUGGCGAAGGCGGCCUUCUGGACCAAUACUGACGCUCAUGCACGAAAGCGUGGGGAGCAAACAGG